ensembl:rRNA 5S_rRNA 5S ribosomal RNA
GUCUAUAGCCAUACUACCCUGAAUGUACCCAAUCUUGUCUGAUCUCAGAAGCUAAGCAGGAUAGGGCCUGGUUAGUACUUAGAUGGGAGAAAUAAAGAAAAAAUAUACAUAGACA